GCUCCAAAUGCAGCAAGGCAUGAUGCAAGUUCACCUCCAGCACAACAUGCUGCGACUUCACCCCCAGCACAUAAUGCCUUGGUUAUAGUUCAUGAUUCGGAGCAGAGUGGAAUAAAAUCUAAAAAAAGAAAGUCUACCUCCAUUUCAAUUUCAACCAAGAAAAGUAGUCAGAGCUCACGGUUAAGAACUUCUCAAGACAGCAGCAUCAUGACCCAUGAUAUGGGUGUUGGCUCAACUGCUAAAGCUAAUGUUCACACCAAGAAAGGAGGAUCUGGUACAAUCAACCUGGAGGCCCAUGUGUCAACAUCUCAGGCUUCUUCUAAGGUUCAUGUUACUGUCACAUCUGGAUCGGCUAGUGCUCAAGUCAGUGCUCAUGAACCACCAAGGAAAAAGCUAACUCCAAGAAGGCCAAAAAAAAUCCCACAACUACCCUCUUCAUCUGCAAUUUGAAGACCAAACAACUGCCAUGUAUCUGUGUUCACCUGAUGACAUUUUGUGUGUUUGUUUAAGCCAAACUGAUGGCAUAUUGUUGUGUCUACUUAAGCCAAACUGAUGGCAUAUUGUUGUGUCAGGUUGCUAUCUGUUAAACUGAAUUCAUGUUGCCUAUGUGUUGAACUGAAUGUAUGUUGCCUAUGUGUUCAACUGAAUGUGUUAUGCAAAGAAAUCAUUCCAUAUCAA